rnacentral:pre_miRNA from 1 species
UCACAAAUCACCUAGGGAUCUUGUUAAAAUGUAGAUUCUAAUUCAGUGAGUCCAGGGUGGGCCUGAGAUUCUGAAUUUCUAGCAAGCUCUCAAGUGAUGCUGCU